rnacentral:rRNA from 1 species
GCAUAUCAAUAAGCGGAGGAAAAGAAACCAACAGGGAUUGCCUCAGUAACGGCGAGUGAAGCGGCAACAGCUCAAAUUUGAAAUCUGGCCCUUUCAGGGUCCGAGUUGUAAUUUGGAGAAGAUGCUUCGGGUGUGGCCCCGGUCUAAGUUCCUUGGAACAGGACGUCAUAGAGGGUGAGAAUCCCGUAUGUGACCGGUGGCCUCGCCCAUGUGAAGCUCUUUCGACGAGUCGAGUUGUUUGGGAAUGCAGCUCAAAAUGGGUGGUAAAUUUCAUCUAAAGCUAAAUAUUGGCCAGAGACCGAUAGCGCACAAGUAGAGUGAUCGAAAGAUGAAAAGCACUUUGGAAAGAGAGUUAAACAGUACGUGAAAUUGUUGAAAGGGAAGCGCUUGCAACCAGACUUGCGCGCGGCCGAUCAUCCGGUGUUCUCACCGGUGCACUCGGUCGCGCUCAGGCCAGCAUCGGUUUGGGUGGUUGGAUAAAGGCCUCGGGAAUGUGGCUCCCCUCGGGGAGUGUUAUAGCCCGAGGUGCAAUGCAGCCUACCCGGACCGAGGACCGCGCUUCGGCUAGGAUGCUGGCGUAAUGGUUGUAAGCGACCCGUCUUGAAACACGGACCAAGGAGUCUAACAUCUAUGCGAGUGUUUGGGUGUCAAACCCAUACGCGUAAUGAAAGUGAACGGAGGUGAGAACCCUUAAGGGUGCAUCAUCGACCGAUCCUGAUGUCUUCGGAUGGAUUUGAGUAAGAGCAUAGCUGUUGGGACCCGAAAGAUGGUGAACUAUGCCUGAAUAGGGUGAAGCCAGAGGAAACUCUGGUGGAGGCUCGCAGCGGUUCUGACGUGCAAAUCGAUCGUCAAAUUUGGGCAUAGGGGCGAAAGACUAAUCGAACCAUCUAGUAGCUGGUUCUGCCGAAGUU